CCGGCGACGGGGGUAACCAAGGCGGGUUGUCGCGCGAGAUCGGACGCCCGGGCCCCGUUUGAAAAGAUGGACGGUUGAAGUCUGUCACCCCGAAAGGAGUGCCUUCCCCUCCCCCGGCGAUUGCACACAAACUGCCGAAACUAUGUUCUAAUUACAAAUCAAACAGGAUAAUCCUUGCGAAGUCUAGGUGACGGUGUUGACUGGAUCACUGACCAGUAAAGGGCAUUGCUGCACCUUUAACAACACCACAUGACUCAACCAGCUCCAUCACGGGCACAACCCUCCCUACCAUCGGGGACAUCUUCAAGAAGUGGUGUCGCAAGAAGGUGGCAUCCAUCACUAGGAACCCUCACCAUCCAGGACAUGCCUUCCGCACAUUACUGUCAUCGGGGAGGAGUGAACAAAUACAUCUACGUACGUGUGCAGACUCAAGAGAACGCAGAUGCUGGAAUCUGGAGUAACACACAAAAAGCUGGAGGAACAGCAGAUGCUGCUUGACCUGCUGAGUUCCUCCAGCAGAUAGUUUGUUGCUCCAGAUUCCAGCAUCUGCAGUCCCUUGUGUCUCUAAUAAAGCUAAGUAUCCC